GUAGGGAAUAUUGCUUAAUGGGCGAAAGCCUGAAGCAGCAACGCCGCGUGUGCGAUGAAGGUCUUCGGAUUGUAAAGCACUUUUAGAGGGGAUGAGGAAGGACAGUACCCUCUGAAUAAGCCUCGGCUAACUACGUGCCAGCAGCCGCGGUAAAACGUAGGAGGCGAGCGUUAUCCGGAUUUACUGGGCGUAAAGCGCGUGUAGGCGGUACGAUAAGUUGGAUGUGAAAGCUCCUGGCUAAACUGGGAGAGGACGUUCAAUACUGUCGAACUUGAGGAUGGGAGAGGGAGGUGGAAUUCCGGGUGUAGUGGUGAAAUGCGUAGAUAUCCGGAGGAACACCAGUGGCGAAGGCGGCCUCCUGGCCCAUUUCUGACGCUCAGACGCGAAAGCUAGGGUAGCAAACGGGAUUAGAAACCCUGGUAGUCC
rnacentral:rRNA from 1 species